rnacentral:rRNA from 1 species
UGACUAAUUAAACGGCCGCGGUAUCCUAACCGUGCAAAGGUAGCAUAAUCACUUGUCUACUAAUUAUAGACUUGUAUGAACGGCUAAAUGAGGGCCUGACUGUCUCCCGUGAUCAAUCAAUGAAACUGAUCUUCCAGUACAAAAGCUGAAAUAAACCCAUAAGACGAGAAGACCCUGUGGAGCUUAAAGCUCCCUUGCUAAUACAACCAAAUAAUACUACUACUAAAAUGGUUAUAUAACAACAAGCUUCAGUUGGGGCAACUUUGAAAAAAAAAAGAACUUUCAAGCACCGAGCAAUUAGCCCUACUUAGGCCAACAUGCCAAGGCAAUAAUUACCAGAUCCAGUCACACUGAUCAACGAACCAAGUUACCCCAGGGAUAACAGCGCAAUCUUCUUCAAGAGUCCUUAUCGCCAAGAAGGUUUACGACCUCGAUGUUGGAUCAGGACACCCAAGUGGUGCAGCCGCUACUAAAGGUUCGUUUGUUCAACGAUU